rnacentral:rRNA from 1 species
UACGGAGGGAGCUAGCGUUGUUCGGAAUUACUGGGCGUAAAGCGCGCGUAGGCGGCUGGAUAAGUCAGGGGUGAAAUCCCGGGGCUCAACCCCGGAACUGCCUUUGAAACUAUCCGGCUAGAAUCUUGGAGAGGCGAGUGGAAUUCCGAGUGUAGAGGUGAAGUUCGUAGAUAUUCGGAAGAACACCAGUGGCGAAGGCGACUUACUGGACACAUAUUGACGCUGAGGUGCGAAAGCGUGGGGAGCAAACAGG